rnacentral:lncRNA from 1 species
UGCAGCCCCAAAAACUCAAACUCAAAUUCAAACUAACAAGACAAUGACCGAUCGAUAUAGGUGCGGUCCUGAAACUCAAACCUAAACUAACAAGACGAUGACCGAUCGAUAUAGGUGCGGUCCUAACUCAAAAACUCAAACUCAAACUGACAAGACAAUGACAGAUUGAUAUAGGUGCGGUCUCAACUCAAACUAAAUACAAACUGGUAGGAAGAUGACAAAUUGAUAUAGGUGCAACCCCAGAAACCCAGACUCAAACUAAC